UACGAAGGACCCGAGCGUUAUCCGGAUUUAUUGGGUUUAAAGGGUGCGUAGGCGGAUUAGUAAGUCAGUGGUGAAAGCCCAUCGCUUAACGGUGGAACUGCCAUUGAUACUGCUAGUCUUGAGUAUGGUUGAGGUGGGCGGAAUGUGUCAUGUAGCGGUGAAAUGCGCAGAUAUCAGGAGGAAUACCGGUGGCGAAGGCGGGUCUCUGGGCCGAAAUUGACGCUGAGGAGCGAAAGCGUGGGGAGCAAACAGG
rnacentral:rRNA from 1 species